GACAGAGGGUGCAAACGUUUUUCGGAAUUACUGGGCGUAAAGCGCGUGUAGGCUGUCGUGCAAGUCGGGUGUGAAAGCCCAGGGCUCAACCCUGGAAGUGCACUCGAAACUGCAAGACUUGAAUCUCGGAGAGGGUAGCGGAAUUCUGGGUGUAGAGGUGAAAUUCGUAGAUAUCCAGAGGAACACCGGUGGCGAAGGCGGCUACCUGGACGAGUAUUGGCGCUGAGACGCGAAAGUGCGGGGAGCAAACAGG
rnacentral:rRNA from 1 species